UCAGAGAUACCUGUUAGAGGCUUCGAAGAGACAUGCUUAUCCACAGAUUAGUUCCUUUACUUAUCUUGUCCUGUGCUCAAUCUGGGAAUCAGCACAGAUCUCAUUGCAGAGGAUUUGCUUGUAACUCCAAGUUGAUGUUUCAAAUUGAUUGAUCAAAAUUAUCCCUGAAAACCACCUCUGCGAAAGCUUCCUGCUGGAGACCCACCUACUAUGUGUACUGCUUCUCUAGAUUUAUUUUUCUUAGUAAAGUUCCUUGGAGAAAAUGGAAACCCAUCUCAGAAGAGUGAAGUAAUAACAAAAUGCAAGAGCUGCUAUUUUUUGAGCGUCUAAUCUGUACCAAGCACCAUGGUAGACACAGAAAGGAAAGUAAGUGACACAAGGACCUCAAAGUACAACACAUCACACAUAUACAGAAAAUGAAAAACUUGGAGCAGAAGGUCAGAAAUAUAAGAAAAGACAGUAAAAGAUAAUUUUCUUAAAA